UUAAGUCCCGCAACGAGCGCAACCCUCGACCUUAGUUGCCAGCAUUCAGUUGGGCGCUCUAAGGUGACUGCCGGCUAAAAGUCGGAGGAAGGUGGGAUGACGUCAAAUCAUCAUGCCCCUUAUGACCUGGGCUACACACGUGCUACAAUGGGCGGUACAAAGGGUCGCGAACCCGCGAGGGAGCCAAUCCCAAAAAGCCGCUCUCAGUUCGGAUUGCAGGCUGCAACUCGCCUGCAUGAAGCCGGAAUCGCUAGUAAUCGCGGAUCAGCAUGCCGCGGUGAAUACGUUCCCGGGCCUU
rnacentral:rRNA from 1 species